rnacentral:rRNA from 1 species
CAGCCGUAAGCUAUGCGCGUUAGGUGUAUCGGUGACCACGAGUUACCGAGGUGCCGAAGGGAAACCGUGAAACGUGCCGCCUGGGAAGUACGGUCGCAAGGCUGAAACUUAAAGGAAUUGGCGGGGGAGCACCACAACAGGUGGAGCCUGCGGUUUAAUUGGACUCAACGCCGGGAAGCUCACCGGAUAGGACAGCAGAAUGAUUGCCGGGCUGAAGACCCUGCAUGACUAGCUGAGAGGAGGUGCAUGGCGUCAGUGACU